AUGGGGGGGAGGGACAUGAUGGCUUCUCAUCACUUUGCAAUCCUUGUCUCCGUAAUUAGGGGAGGUGAUUCGAUUGCUCGCCAUCCAGUUCAAGAAAAUUUCAAGUUUGAGGAAGCAUGGAUGAGAGCUCCAGAUUAUUCUCAAAUGGUGGAGGAAUCUUGGCAUUCACAUAAAGAAGGACCUCCAUCCCUAAGUAAUACAUGGUCUGGUCCAAAAAGAAUGUCUAAUAAACUUCAAGGCUGGAGCAGAAACUCUUCUGGCUCGGUUAGGAAACAAAUCAAGAUGCUAGAGAGGAGAAUAGAUGCUCUAAGAAGGGAUAGUUAUCAGACAAUAUACUCCAAUGAAGAUAAAGAAAUUGAGAAGCGGUUGUGUGAGUUAUUUGAAAGGGAGGAGAUAAUGGCUCGUCAACGAUCUAAUAGAGUGGCUCAAAUAUGGGGACCGGAAUAUAUCUUUUUUCCACGCGAAGGCCUCAGCAAGAAGUAG
rnacentral:rRNA from 1 species